CGGUUCUUAGUUUAUUAAAAACCUGGUUGUAAAAUUAAAGAAUAAUAGAAAAAUAUAUAAUAGGAAAUAAUAACAAAUAUUUAAAUACAGAUAUUUCCCACUACUUAUAACAACUUCAUGUACUGUCCAAAAUGGAGUAGAAAGAAGUAUAAACUUAUGAAAUCAUAUCCAAGUAGCUCUGGUCAAAACUGUUUUUGUGUCAUCAUGUUGGCAGAUUUAUCAUUAACCAUUAUGUUAAACAUUCAUCGGUAGUCCUUCAACGAACGUCACAUAGUUUCAAAAAAACUACUAAAUCUGAAAAGGAGAAUUAGGGAAUCACUAUUAGAACUUAAUAACAACAAAAUACACAAAUAUAAUAUAUAAGAUGAUUUUUCAGUGUUUCAUACCUCCAGUGUUACAGGCUCUCAGCUGCAGUUUAUCAAUGUCUCCCACCUGUCACACACGACUGCUACCUACAAAGCCCAACUGGCUUUCUUUUAAUCUUGAUCUUCUUGGAAACGUUCUACCAAUCCAGAACCCUUCCAAUAUACCCAGGAACUACACUUUAAUUAGACAAAAACCAUUUUAUAUAGUUUACUUAAUCAAAUUAUUUGGAAGAAACAAAAAAUGCACAUGAAAACAGAUGGACAUUUUUGGCCCAAUUAAAUUCACUCUAUCCUCAAUUGCACAUGGGUUAAAAUCACCUGAAUAUCAAAGGAGGAGAUACAUCCACUUACUCUACUCAGCUCUGACCUUUGACAAGAUGCUGGCUAGUGUCAUUGGCCAAUAUAACUUUAGCUCAUAAAAUAAUGUUACAACACAAUGUUGCAUUGUGUAUGUGGGUUGCUCCCAUGAAACACUUGCCGAAUCCUUUCUGCCAACACCAAACAGGUUAUUCUGCUAUUGAUGGUUGUUUGAUGCAUUUAUUUCAUUAGAAGUUAAAGAAAUUGGCAUAUUGAUAAUUUAUUAGUUUGUUUAUUUAAUAAACAGGGGUCUCAAUAGUGCUUAGGAGAACCAUACACAACCAUAACAGCCUGGCAUCUCCUAUUGUUGGUCACACAUUGCUGAUCCCACAAGUGUUCAGUGAAGUUGAGGUCAGGACUGUGGACAGGUUUUCUGUCCUCUCCAUGCCCAGAUUCUGGAGGUAGUCUCUGAUGAACCCUGCUCUGUGAGGGAUGAGUAUUUUUCUUCUUGAAGGAAAAAGUUUGGUUCCUACACAUUGAGAUAUAGGAUUGCCACUGGUUGCAAACUCUCAUCUCUAUAUCUCUAGGCAUUGGGCUAGCCUCCAGUGAUGAUUUUGUUUUUUAGUGAGGAAGCUUAUGUCCCACACCAUCACACUGCCUCCACCAAAUGCUGUCUGGUAUUGGCAAAGAGCAUUUAGGAAGUUUUUUUAUGGGCACAACCCACACAUACUCUGUUGCUCAACCCACAAAUACAUUUUCUGUACAAAUGUGGUACUAUUUUAAUAAACAGACUUUCCAACAGUAGGAUGUUUAUUAUCAAGAAGCAUUGUUACAAUGAAAAGAAUCAUCAAACACAAUGCUCUCACUGUUUGUGCUAAGUAAACCAGUAUGGCUUGUUGAAUCCGAAUAACAUCUGUUAGAGAUAACUUCAAACUAAAAUCAAAACAGAGAGCCUGCUAACAGCAACAAAGGUUUUGAGUCAGAAAUUGGUAAAAUGAAUUACCUCUUGUUAUUUAGUGAACACUAGAAUGCUAUUAGGCAAAACAGUAUAAUUUAGUCUAUUUUGGCCCAUGGGUACCUGGGAUGCUAACGUAAAAGUACACAAAAAAGUAAUUUUCAUAAAGCAAAAGACAGACAAUUUGCAAUAGGCUUCUGUUACUCCGCCUAACUGUAAUUUAAAGUUAUUUAAAUAAUUUCUGAGCUCAUGGGGUGUUUUAUACCUAUUUUACACACAGUAAAAUUGUUUGUCUCAGAGAUGCUUAUAGAAACCUUAACAUAUUUUAAUGAGGACAAGUGAGGUAUUAAACACGGGUUCAGCGGUGGUUACUGAUUCCUCGUUAGCUUAGCUGACUUAGCCCGUGGCACGCGGAGAGAUCUCACCGCUGCCGUCUGCAGCGCGUGCUGAUGAUCACAAACUUUUGAGCCGCGCGACACGCGUCUGAACAGCCUCGCAGCAGCAAGAGACGAGCAGUGUUGACCCCUCAGCAAAGAGCCAAAAAUGACAACCAAGAAGCCAAGGAGCGUGUUCCGGGAAGCUUCCCAUCAGAUAAUAGCCGGUGGAUCCGCUGGUCUGGUAGAGAUCUGUUUGAUGCAUCCACUCGAUGUUGUAAAGACAAGGUUUCAAAUCCAGCGAGGAUCAAGUGACCCCACCAGCUACAAGAGUCUAGGAGACUGCUUCCGGACAAUUUUCCGCAGGGAAGGAAUCUUUGGCUUCUACAAGGGAAUCCUGCCUCCGAUCCUGGCAGAGACCCCAAAGAGAGCAGUGAAGUUCUUCACCUUUGAGCAGUACAAGAAGUUGCUGAAUCUGACUCCUUUGUCUCCUGGCGUGGCACUGUCUGCAGCAGGCCUCGGCUCAGGCUUGACUGAGGCUGUUGUUGUCAAUCCAUUCGAAGUGGUGAAAGUCAGUCUGCAGGCCAACAGAGAUUCCUUCAAAGAGCAACCCUCCGCUUUCACCCAAGCACGACAUAUAAUCAAGUCAGAUGGCUUUGGACUGAGAGGUCUGAAUAAAGGAUUAACAUCAACCCUAGGACGCCAUGGAGUUUUCAACAUGAUCUACUUUGGCUUCUACUUUAAUGUCAAGGAUGCUAUUCCUACCAACCCGGAUCCCUCGUUAGAGUUCCUAAGGAAGUUUGCUAUUGGCCUGAUGUCUGGGACCAUCUCCUCCUGUGUGAAUAUUCCCUUUGACGUGGCAAAGAGCCGCAUCCAAGGCCCCCAGCCAGUACCAGGAGAGAUCAAGUACCGCACCUGCUUCCAGACCAUGGCACUAGUGUACCGCGAAGAAGGGUACAACAAACAACUGAAAUAUAAUCCCAAAAAACAUAAUUCAAGGAUUACUAAAUCUGGGUCAUUCCACAAGGGGCCACAAGCCAAAACGCAUUGGUCUGUUGUUUUCCAGGGCUUCAGGUGUUGCUGGAGUCUUCACCUCACCAGAUCUUUGACCCUCUCCAUGCAGCUUAGGAUUUGGUGAAGUUGUGCCACAAAGCUACUUGGCUCUAUACAAGGGGUUGGUUCCCAAGAUAAUGAGACUUGGACCAGGUGGAGCGGUGAUGCUGCUGGUCUAUGAAUAUGUAUCUGACUGGUUACAGAAAAACUGGUAACAAGAAAAACAGAGGGAGAAAUGAAAGCCUUUAUGUUCCUCAGUUAUUCCUUGUUGACAGAACUGGUGACUGACAACGAAGCCUUUUAUAAAAUGUAUGAAAUUACCAAAUCAGCAUUACAAUAUUUGGACAUUACAUCUUCAUCUUGCUCAGGAAUAAAAACUGUGAAAACCAUUUAAUGAAAUUGGAUGGAAACCCAGUAAACAGCAUUCAAUAUGACCUAUUAACAGAACAGAAGUACAAUGCAUUUGCAUUGGCAUUGGCAUAGAAUUAGUUUAAUAAUUUUUUUAGGUGGUGGGGGGUUAUUUUUAGUAUCAAACAAUCCUGGCAUAGACAAAGGGAAUACUUACUUUGUAAAGUGACCUUUGUAAAUGGAGUUUUAAAGUUAUCAGAGAAAACUGGUUUUAACACCAGAACAACUAGUUUUACUGUCCAGGUAAGCCUGAUGCCUAUUAAAACACAUCCUUACAGUAUCAAACUCUUUGAGUUGUCUCUGAUGAGAGAUUUGUGUUUUCUGUGCCCUGCUGUUUGUCCCCCGCUUGUUUGAUAUGAGUCAUAGUUUAAUAAAUUAAACUAAUAAUUAGGUGGUCACCUUAACUGUCCAAGACUUCUGUCACUCCUAUAAUGUUGAGAUUAAACCGGCUGUGGAAGAUUUCAGUAUUUUCAUUCUUCAUAAAUGUUAAAACUGUAAAAAAACAUAAAGCUUUAAAUUUUAAAAUAAUCCAAAAUACAAUAAAAAGGUUGUUUACAUGACUACCCAUCUUCUGUCUACAAUAAAUUAAGAUGUAACUGACUUUGUGAACCAAAUAUGGUCAUCUUCUCACUCCUCUUUAAGCAGAAAGGGUUAAAGGUUUUUAAAAUGCACAUCAGAUUUGGAAAGACACAAACACAGACAGUUUACAAGUUAAAGAAAAAGAUAAUGUAAAGCUUCUUAGAAAGGUGUUGCUCCUCAGCAUUUCAUAUUCAUCAGCUUCUUUGGUGCUCCUUCACAGGGAAGAGUUGCGCAUCAGCGAUGCUUCAUUGUGCUCUUUUCUGAGGCUUGCUGGUAAUUUCUGUCAUCACAAGCAUGUGGUUUUUCUUAUUUUAACAGAUUCACGUUCUUUACCUUUCCCAUCUGGGAAUAGGUCCAAACAAAUUAGUGAGUUUUAUGGAAAAACCAUUACGAACACACGGACGACACAAAUUAAAUCACUUGGAGUCUAAAACAUUUCUGUACUCAUUCAUGUGCAAAGUAUGACAUUCACAUAAUAAAUCAAAGAUGUCAUGUUAUACCAGCAAAAUGCCCUACCCCAGGAAUUCCUGUUUUUGCUUUUCAUUUGUAAACAUUCUGCUUACACCACAAUUUAUGCUCUACAUUUUACCACAUUAGAGCCACAAACAUUACGUUACAACUAAUUAAACUGUUUUUAACUGGGACUGUGUGCAAUAGACCAACCCAAAGUUCAUAAUUGUAAAGAGGAGAGAAAAUUAUACAUGGUUCUCAACAUUUUCUAUAAAUAAAAAUCUAAAAACAGUGGUGUCCGUUUGUAUUUGACCCCAAUGAGUCAACACUUUGUAGAGCCUUUCACUGUAAAUUAUAGCUGCAAGGAUUUUGGGGUUUGUCUCUACCAGCUUUUCACAUAGAAGCUGACAUUUUUACCCAUUCUUUGUCCAAAUGGAUGGAAAGCCAACAUCAAUUUUCAAGUCUUUCCACAAAUUCUCAGUUGAAUUUUGGUCUGGACUUUGCUUAAGUCUAUGAUCUAAACCAGGGGUCUGCAACCUUUUUUGCCCUCAGUCCAGCUAAUUGAAGCUCAUUUGGAGCCUCAAGUCUUACAUGACCUUCUGAAAAUAGACAACUUGUAUACAUAUUUUUCAAUAUCUACUAUAGGAAAAUUUUCAUUUUUGUUUUUCUAUUUUUAGGUUUUUAAAUAAAGAAAAACAAAACAUUUGCCAAAGGGGAAUGGAUACAUUCCUUCCAUGGAAUGCUGAUAUUUGUGGAAAAAGGAUUUAAAAAACUUGAAAAGUAUAUCUAACAAAAGUGUUACUGGUACUUUUAGUGUCUUUAAUUUGUGGAAAUUCAAUGCAAUCAUUCCUUGAAAAAACAAAACAGCCAUUAUGGAAGAUCCAAAGAGCCACUUGCAGCUCCAGAGCUCCAGGUUGUAGACCCCUGAUUCAAAUCAUCCAUUCAUAGGCUUGGCUUUAUCUUGUAUCUUCGCUAGGUCAUUCUCACAAAUUGCCCUGUAUUUAGCUCCAUCAUCUCUAAUUAGUUAUCACCACAAUAUGAUGCUGUCCCCACUAUGUUUCACUGUGGGGAUGGUAUGGUGAUGUGCAAGUGUUAGUUUUCACACAGACUUUUGCAUGUUGGGCAGAAAGUUCGGUUUUGGUCUCGUCUGACCAGGUUACCUUCUCCCACGUUUGCUGUCUCCUAACUGGCUUGAAGCAAACUGUAAAUUUGACUUCUUAUGGCUUUCUUUCCACAGUGGCUUUAUUCUCGCUACUCUUCCAUAAAGGUCAGACUUGAGUAGGGCUCAACCUAUAGUUGUCCUGUUGACAAAUUGUCUCACCCGAGCUGUGGACCUUUGCAGCUCCUCCAGAGUUACCAUGGUUGUCUUGGCUGCUUCCUUAAAUUAUACUGUCCUUGCCAGUCCUGUCAGUUUAGGUCAGAGGCCAUGUUUUGGUAGCUUUGCCAUACUAUCCAUUUUUGGAUCAUGCAUUACUCCAUGUGAUGUUUAAAGCUUGGUGUUUUAUUCUAACCCUGCUUUAAAUUUCUCCACAACAUUAUCCAUGACCUGUUUCUUGGUCCUCAUGAUGCUGUUGGUUCAUUAAUGGUCUCUAACAAACCUCUGAGGCCUUCACAAAGCAGGAUUUAUUAUGAAAUGAAAUAACAUACUAGGUGUACUGUUAAUUAUCAGAUUGAAGGGGGUUAUAUAUAAGCGCGCACCCCUUUUUUCAGAUCUUUUUUUAUUUUUUUUAUUUAGAAAACCCUGUUGUUUUUUCCUUUCACUCCCGGCACUACUUUGUGUUGGUCGAUCACAUAUAAUCCCAAUUAAAUGCUUAAAGUUCAAUUUUAAAUUUCAAUUCCAAAAAUACUUGAUUCAUUCCAAAGGGAAAUUAAUUGUUGUUGUAGCUCAUAUUAUAAAAUCAGUGGUUGUUCUGUGACAAAAUGUGAAAACGUUUAAGAGAAAAUAAAUACUUUUGUGACACUAUGUUUAUACUUACAAAUAUAUAUGGUGAUCUCACUAUUUUUUUGCAAUAACAUCAGUGAUGUGUCACAUUUCUAUAAAAUUAUCUUAAAAUGACUUUUUAAAUCGCACAUGAAAUAUGGAAUAUUUUGACGUUUUGUUAAAUAAAUAAAAAACUAAAAAAUUA